rnacentral:rRNA from 1 species
GGCCAUACCACCCGGGAACGUGCCCGAUUUCGUCUGAUCUUGGAAGCUAAGAAGGGUCGCGCCUGGUUAGUACUUGGAUGGGGAGACUAAGACACC